GACGAACGCUGGCGGCGUGCCUAAUACAUGCAAGUUGAGCGCUGAAGGUUGGUACUUGUACCAACUGGAUGAGCAGCGAACGGGUGAGUAACGCGUGGGGAAUCUGCCUUUGAGCGGGGGACAACAUUUGGAAACGAAUGCUAAUACCGCAUAAAAACUUUAAACACAAGUUUUAAGUUUGAAAGAUGCAAUUGCAUCACUCAAAGAUGAUCCCGCGUUGUAUUAGCUAGUUGGUGAGGUAAAGGCUCACCAAGGCGAUGACACAUAGCCGACCUGAGAGGGUGAUCGGCCACAUUGGGACUGAGACACGGCCCAAACUCCUACGGGAGGCAGCAGUAGGGAAUCUUCGGCAAUGGACGGAAGUCUGACCGAGCAACGCCGCGUGAGUGAAGAAGGUUUUCGGAUCGUAAAACUCUGUUGGUAGAGAAGAACGUUGGUGAGAGUGGAAAGCUCAUCAAGUGACGGUAACUACCCAGAAAGGGACGGCUAACUACGUG
rnacentral:rRNA from 1 species